AGUGAACGCUGGCGGCAGGCCUAACACAUGCAAGUCGAGCGGAGCGGCGGACGGAUGAGUAAUUACUAUAUCUCUGCCUGGUCGUGGGGGAUAACUUCCGGCAACGGGCGGUCAUUCCUCCUACUCUCUGAUGCGUCUAGGUCGGAUUAGUUAGUUGGUGGGGUAAAGGCUUACCAAGGCGACGAUCCGUACCUGGUCUGAGAGGAUGAUCAGUCACACUGGGACUGAGACACGGUCCAGACUCCUACGGGAGGCAGCAGUGGGGAAUAUUGGACAAUGGGCGAAAGCCUGAUGCAGCCAUGCCGCGUGUAUGAAGAAGGUCUUCGGAUUGUAAAGCACUUUAAGUUGGGAGGCGUUACCAACAGAAUAAGCACCGGCUAACUUCGUGCCAGCAGCCGCGGUAAUAC
rnacentral:rRNA from 1 species